GCCAAGUUCAACUCAGGUAUCUGGGUUGCAAUACCUCGUGACCACUCAUUUGGCUAAAGCCUUGAUUGAGACACCUGGGAUCAGAACUGGCAGCUAGUCCAAUUCAAUCAAGCCCACUGUCCUCACCAAGUGAGUUUGGAGAAAAGGAAUGAAAGUCAUCUUUCUUGACAAGAAUUCCAGCCUACCCGCUCACCAGGCCCUUCCGGACAGACCUCUUAGGUUUCAAAUCUCAGAAGCAGACUGACCACUGAGCUGACCAUGGGCAACCCCACUUCAGAGACAGACCUGGCUGACAGAGAAAAUAAACCAGCCGAGGAGUCCUCUCAAAGGCAGUUUUAUAAAUCAGGCCCUUGCUAAC